rnacentral:lncRNA from 1 species
UGGNCGUUCUCCCCUGUCAAAAGAAUGACUCUGAAUUCGUAAUAGGGGUAUUUAAAGGUGAGGAGCGCGUCAAAAACAGGCCCAAGUCAAGCGUGCCACCGCCGGGCGGUUUAAGUGUGCCGCCCGGUGGUUUCCCAUAACCUGCCGCCACCGCCCGGCGGUUUCCCAUAUCCUGCUGCUGCCGCCCGGCGGUUUCCCUCAUCGUGAAAUGCCCUGCCUACUCCUCGACUCUUCAAAACUUUAUUUUUCUACUCUUUUCUUGAAUCAACGAC